CCUACGGGGGGCUGCAGUGGGGAAUAUUGGACAAUGGGGGCAACCCUGAUCCAGCCAUGCCGCGUGUGUGAAGAAGGCCCUCGGGUUGUAAAGCACUUUCAGUGAGGAAGAACGCCUGGUGGUUAAUACCCAUCAGGAAAGACAUCACUCACAGAAGAAGCACCGGCUAACUCCGUGCCAGCAGCCGCGGUAAUACGGAGGGUGCGAGCGUUAAUCGGAAUUACUGGGCGUAAAGCGCGCGUAGGUGGCUUGAUAAGCCGGUUGUGAAAGCCCCGGGCUCAACCUGGGAACGGCAUCCGGAACUGUCAAGCUAGAGUGCAGGAGAGGAAGGUUGAAUUCCCGGUGUAGCGGUGAAAUGCGUAGAGAUCGGGAGGAAUACCAGUGGCGAAGGCGGCCUUCUGGACUGACACUGACACUGAGGUGCGAAAGCGUGGGUAGCAAACAGGAUUAGAUACCCGAGUAGUC
rnacentral:rRNA from 1 species